AUGAAGAGAGUACGAGCCUGGGUGCAAGAUUACAAGCUAUUUGGGGAUAAGAAGGAGGUCCAAAGCGUGUCAGAAACUAGGUGGAAGUUGCCAGGUGAGAACGCCCUUAAAAUUAAUAUUGAUGGAAGUAUGUCUCGAGAACAGGGUACUGGUGGCUGGGGCUUCAUUAUCAGAGAUGCACAAGGUCAAGCAGUAGGCUUGGGACUCCCUUCCCCAGCCGUACGGCCGUAUGGAGCUCCUGAUUUCGUGCACAACUUGAUUGCCAGCGAUCUUGCUGAGCUCUUUGGUUAA
rnacentral:rRNA from 1 species